GACGAACGCUGGCGGCGUGCCUAAUACAUGCAAGUAGAACGCUGAAGAGAGGAGCUUGCUCUUCUUGGAUGAGUUGCGCACGGGUGAGUAACGCGUAGGUAACCUGCCUUGUAGCGGGGGAUAACUAUUGGAAACGAUAGCUAAUACCGCAUAACAAUAGGUGACACAUGUCAUUUAUUUGAAAGGGGCAAUUGCUCCACUACAAGAUGGACCUGCGUUGUAUUAGCUAGUAGGUGAGGUAACGGCUCACCUAGGCGACGAUACAUAGCCGACCUGAGAGGGUGAUCAGCCACACUGGGACUGAGACACGGCCCAGACUCCUACGGGAGGCAGCAGUAGGGAAUCUUCGGCAAUGGGGGCAACCCUGACCGAGCAACGCCGCGUGAGUGAAGAAGGUUUUCGGAUCGUAAAGCUCUGUUGUAAGUCAAGAACGAGUGUGAGAGUGGAAAGUUCACACUGUGACGGUAGCUUACCAGAAAGGGACGGCUAACUACGUG
rnacentral:rRNA from 1 species